rnacentral:rRNA from 1 species
AACAGGAUUAGAUACCCUGGUAGUCCACGCUGUAAACGAUGUCGACUUGGAGGUUGUGCCCUUGAGGCGUGGCUUCCGGAGCUAACGCGUUAAGUCGACCGCCUGGGGAGUACGGCCGCAAGGUUAAAACUCAAAUGAAUUGACGGGGGCCCGCACAAGCGGUGGAGCAUGUGGUUUAAUUCGAUGCAACGCGAAGAACCUUACCUACUCUUGACAUCCAGAGAAUUUGCUAGAGAUAGCUUAGUGCCUUCGGGAACUCUGAGACAGGUGCUGCAUGGCUGUCGUCAGCUCGUGUUGUGAAAUGUUGGGUUAAGUCCCGCAACGAGCGCAACCCUUAUCCUUUGUUGCCAGCGAGUAAUGUCGGGAACUCAAAGGAGACUGCCGGUGAUAAACCGGAGGAAGGUGGGGAUGACGUCAAGUCAUCAUGGCCCUUACGAGUAGGGCUACACACGUGCUACAAUGGCAUAUACAAAGAGAAGCGAACUCGCGAGAGCAAGCGGACCUCAUAAAGUAUGUCGUAGUCCGGAUUGGAGUCUGCAACUCGACUCCAUGAAGUCGGAAUCGCUAGUAAUCGUAGAUCAGAAUGCUACGGUGAAUACGUUCCCGGGCCUUGUACACACCGCCCGUCACACCAUGGGAGUGGGUUGCAAAAGAAGUAGGUAGCUUAACCUUCGGGAGGGGGCUUACCACUUUGUGAUUCAUGACUGGGGUGAAGUCGUAACAAGGUAACC